GUAACGAGCGCAACCCUUGUCCUUAGUUACCAGCACGUUAUGGUGGGCACUCUAAGGAGACUGCCGGUGCAAACCGGAGGAAGGUGGGGAUGACGUCAAGUCAUCAUGGCCCUUACGGCCUGGGCUACACACGUGCUACAAUGGUCGGUACAAAGGGUUGCCAAGCCGCGAGGUGGAGCUAAUCCCAUAAAACCGAUCGUAGUCCGGAUCGCAGUCUGCAACUCGACUGCGUGAAGUCGGAAUCGCUAGUAAUCGUGAAUCAGAAUGUCACGGUGAAUACGUUCCCGGGCCUU
rnacentral:rRNA from 1 species